rnacentral:rRNA from 1 species
UACGUAGGGUGCAAGCGUUGUCCGGAAUUAUUGGGCGUAAAGAGCUCGUAGGCGGUUUGUCGCGUCUGCUGUGAAAUCUGGAGGCUCAACCUCCAGCCUGCAGUGGGGUACGGGGCAGACUAGAGUGCGGUAGGGGAGAUUGGAACUCCUGGUGUAGCGGUGGAAUGCGCAGAUAUCAGGAGGAACACCGGUGGCGAAGGCGGCUCACUGGCUCAUUACUGACGCUCGAGGCGCGAUAGCGUGGGGAUCAAACAGG